CACGUAGGGCGCGAGCGUUGUCCGGAAUUAUUGGGCGUAAAGAGCUCGUAGGCGGCCUGUUGCGUCCGCUGUGAAAGCCCGGGCUUAACCCGGGUCGCAGUGGAUACGGGCAGGCUAGAGGUAGGUAGGGAGAAUGGAAUUCCCGGUGUAGCGGUGAAAUGCGCAGAUAUCGGGAGGAACACCGGUGGCGAAGCGGUUCUCUGGGCCUUACCUGACGCUGAGGAGCGAAGCGU
rnacentral:rRNA from 1 species